rfam:Myotis davidii contig143954, whole genome shotgun sequence.
GGUGGUUCUCGGGUGAUGUAUCCCAGAAUCGGGCUCCCUCUUCUAUGGUUCCUAGUGUGUCACCCGAGAACCGCA